rfam:Oryza sativa Japonica Group DNA, chromosome 11, cultivar: Nipponbare, complete sequence.
AAAAAGGCAAACCCUGGGUUUACGUGUCCAAUUUUGACUGUUCAUCUUAUAUAAAUUUUUUUUAUAAUUCAUAUUUUUAUUGUUGUUAGAUGAUAAAACAUGAUUAAUAUUUUAUGCGUGACUUGUCUUUUUAAUUUUUUUUUCAUAAUUUUUUUAAAUAAGACGGACGGUCAAAUGUUGGGCACGGAAAAUAGGGUUUGUCUUUUU